rnacentral:lncRNA from 1 species
UCUAUUAAAAAAAAAGCACACCUAGAAAUGGAAAGUUGCUUAACAUAACAAAUGCCAUAUAUGACAAGCCCGCAGCUAACAUCGUACCUAAAAGUGGAAAACCGAAAACUCUAGGAUCGGAAACAAGGCAAAGACUCCCACUCUCACCAUUUCUAGUCAACAUAAGACCAGCUCUAAAGGAGUGUAAAUAUUUCUCCCUUGAGCCAGUCUCUCCUUAAAUUCUUAUUAGCACCUGUAGAGCUCCUUCUAACACAGCGGUUCUCAAGGUGUGGUUUAAUGAUUAGCCACAUUCGUUUCACGUUUCAUGUGGAACCUUGUUAGCAGUGCAAAUUCUUGCGCUCCCCCCAGGUCAAGUGAAUCACAAACAGUAGGAAUGGGUGUCAUCAAUUGUGUUUAACAAGCCCUUCAGGUGAAUUGGUUUCCCACUGAAGUAUAAGAGCAACUGUCCAAUCACGGGCAAGCACUAACGCCAGAGGUCAAAUGGAGGAUUUCAGUGGGAGGAAUUAAGAAGUGACCUCGUGCAAGAUUCCUAGUUCUAGUCUUUGUUUUUAUCAACAAAGGAGAGGCAAAAAGGGUAUGGAAACAAGGGGCAGUGAAGUACUGGGUCCAAUAAUUAAAUCUACCACCUUGGCCCCAGAAUGUGAGAUUCAUGCAGACGGAAACCCAGGAAUUUCUUGGUGAUUCUGUUACCCAUGGAGCGUAGAUCAGCGCUUGGUACGUGGUAAGCUUUCACAAAUCCUUGCUAAACUACGGAAGGCUUAUUUAAUCACAAAUAAUAUAGGUUAUUCCUGUAUUUUAAAUACAAGUGGCUUUUUGUUUGUUUGUUUGUUUUGGAAACAGUCCAGGUGGCUUGCUGCGGCGCUGCAGAGGGAAAACCAGAAUGGAUACUCUCUCGGGGAAGCAGAUCUGAGAAAAGACAACCUAGAAGGGGCUCGUGCACAUGUUGCAUUUUCUUCUCUGGAGUUUGUCAACCAAAUACAUCGCUUCACUCCCGUAAGAAAUGGACAAAGUGUUUGGAUUAUUCUCACCAAUUUUGAGCUUAUCAAAGAAAGACUGGGUUAAUAUGAUCCAGGUUAAAUGACAUCAGCAAGAUGACAACUGAGGUCAUUCCUGACUUUACCCCCACUCACAAGAACAAGUGUCAUCUCUUUAAGAACAAGACAUCACUGAGAGAAUUCUAGAACACCGGAGAUGAAGCUGAAGCGGGCCCUUGUACCACAGAGACCAAGGCCAACUGCAUU